rnacentral:rRNA from 1 species
GCAUGUGUCAGUACAGGCCGCUCUAAGGCGAAACCGCGAAUGGCUCAUUAAAUCAGUUAUGAUUCAUUUGAUCUCACUCCCAUUACUUGGAUAACCCUGGUAAUUCUAGAGCUAAUACGUGACAACAACUACUCCGACUGGAAGGGAGGAGUGCUUUUAUUAGAUGAAAACCAAUCGGGCCUCGGUCCGCCAAACACAAACUGUGCUGAUUCUGAAUAACUUUGUGCCGAGAGCAUGGUCUCCGCGCCGGCUCCGUAUCUUUCGAGUUUCUGCCUUAUCAUGCUGUGGAUUGUAGGCCAUGCGCCUACUGUGGCUGUUACGGGUGACGGGGAAUCAG